rnacentral:rRNA from 1 species
GGCGCACGGGUGAGUAACACGUGGGUAAUCUGCCCUUGAGUUUGGGAUAACCCCGCGAAAGCGGGGCUAAUACCGAAUAAGACCACGGGACCAAAGUCCCUGAGGUAAAAGGUGGCCUCUAUUUAUAAGCUACCACUUGAGGAUGAGCCCGCGGCCCAUUAGCUAGUUGGCAGGGUAAUGGCCUACCAAGGCAAUGAUGGGUAGCUGGUCUGAGAGGACGAUCAGCCACACUGGAACUGAGACACGGUCCAGACUCCUACGGGAGGCAGCAGUGGGGAAUAUUGCGCAAUGGGCGAAAGCCUGACGCAGCAACGCCGCGUGGGGGAUGAAGGUUUUCGGAUUGUAAACCCCUUUCGAUCGGAACGAAUCUCCUCUUGGUAAAUAAUCAGGAGGAUCGACGGUACCGGGAGAAGAAGCCACGGCUAACUCUGUGCCAGCAGCCGCGGUAAGACAGAGGUGGCAAGCGUUGUUCGGAUUUAUUGGGCGUAAAGCGAACGCAGGCGGUUUGGUAAGUCAGGGGUGAAAGACCACAGCUUAACUGUGGUAUUGCCUUUGAUACUGCCUUUCUUGAGUGGAGUAGGGGGAAGCGGAAUUCCGAGUGUAGAGGUGAAAUUCGUAGAUAUUCGGAGGAACACCGGUGGCGAAGGCGGCUUCCUGGACUCUAACUGACGCUCAUGUU